rnacentral:rRNA from 1 species
GGCUCAGGAUGAACGCUAGCGGGAGGCCUAACACAUGCAAGCCGAGCGGUAUUGUUUCUUCGGAAAUGAGAGAGCGGCGUACGGGUGCGGAACACGUGUGCAACCUGCCUUUAUCUGGGGGAUAGCCUUUCGAAAGGAGAUUAAUACCCCAUAAUAUAUUGAAUGGCAUCAUUCGAUAUUGAAAACUCCGGUGGAUAGAGAUGGGCACGCGCAAGAUUAGAUAGUUGGUGAGGUAACGGCUCACCAAGUCUACGAUCUUUAGGGGGCCUGAGAGGGUGAUCCCCCACACUGGUACUGAGACACGGACCAGACUCCUACGGGAGGCAGCAGUGAGGAAUAUUGGACAAUGGGUGAGAGCCUGAUCCAGCCAUCCCGCGUGAAGGACGACGGCCCUAUGGGUUGUAAACUUCUUUUGUAUAGGGAUAAACCUACUCUCGUGAGAGUAGCUGAAGGUACUAUACGAAUAAGCACCGGCUAACUCCGUGCCAGCAGCCGCGGUAAUACGGAGGGUGCAAGCGUUAUCCGGAUUUAUUGGGUUUAAAGGGUCCGUAGGCGGAUCUGUAAGUCAGUGGUGAAAUCUCACAGCUUAACUGUGAAACUGCCAUUGAUACUGCAGGUCUUGAGUGUUGUUGAAGUAGCUGGAAUAAGUAGUGUAGCGGUGAAAUGCAUAGAUAUUACUUAGAACACCAAUUGCGAAGGCAGGUUACUAAGCAACAACUGACGCUGAUGGACGAAAGCGUGGGGAGCGAACAGGAUUAGAUACCCUGGUAGUCCACGCCGUAAACGAUGCUAACUCGUUUUUGGGCUUUCGGGUUCAGAGACUAAGCGAAAGUGAUAAGUUAGCCACCUGGGGAGUACGUUCGCAAGAAUGAAACUCAAAGGAAUUGACGGGGGCCCGCACAAGCGGUGGAUUAUGUGGUUUAAUUCGAUGAUACGCGAGGAACCUUACCAAGGCUUAAAUGGGAAAUGACAGGUUUAGAAAUAGACUUUUCUUCGGACAUUUUUCAAGGUGCUGCAUGGUUGUCGUCAGCUCGUGCCGUGAGGUGUUAGGUUAAGUCCUGCAACGAGCGCAACCCCUGUCACUAGUUGCCAUCAUUAAGUUGGGGACUCUAGUGAGACUGCCUACGCAAGUAGAGAGGAAGGUGGGGAUGACGUCAAAUCAUCACGGCCCUUACGCCUUGGGCCACACACGUAAUACAAUGGCCAGUACAGAGGG